rnacentral:rRNA from 1 species
AUAGCGUAUAUUAAAGUUGUUGCAGUUAAAAAGCUCGUAGUUGAACUUCGAACGUGGCUGGGCGGUCCGCCUCACGGUGUGUACUGUCUGGCUGUGUUCUCUUUCUUGGUGAGCCGGCAUGCCCUUUACUGGGUGUGUUGGGGAACCAGGACGUUUACCUUGAGAAAAUUAGAGUGUUCAAAGCAGGCCUACGCCCGGAUACAUUAGCAUGGCAUAAUAAAAUAGGACGUGCGGUUCUAUUUUGUUGGUUUCUAGAGUCGCCGUAAUGAUUAAUAGGGAUAGUUGGGGGCAUUGGUAUUGAGUCGCUAGAGGUGAAAUUCUUGGAUUGACUCAAGACCAACUAUUG